rnacentral:piRNA from 1 species
UGACUUAGAAGUUCUAACAUAAGCCAU